UGUGUGUGCUCCAUGUGAAUGACAUAGGUGCUUAUGUAGGUGGGCUCCAACUUAGGCGAAAAUCGCGUUAUGUCGUACUAAACCCGAGGACCUAAUGUACGCAGGAUCAAGGCAGGGGCCGGGUCAUAAAGGACCUUAUAAACCAAGGACUUUGGAUUUCUUUUCUAAAUAAAAUGGGAAGUCACUGAAAGGUUUUGAACAAGAGAAAGACAUCUGAUUUACAUUUUAAAAUAAUCACUCUGGGCUACUGUGUAAAGAACAAACUAGGCUAGAGUUUUCAGUUUAAAUAAGCAAAAUAUAUGGGCUGAUUUUGCUUUUUUAUUGAAAAUGUCUGAAUGUUAUACAGUUAAUCUUUAUAAAUAAUGUCUUUUAAAAUGCUAACAAAAGGUUAUCUAGCUCAAGUGCUUCAGUCAAUUAGUGAAGGCAAGUUACAAUAUAAGAGCAAGGGAGUUUGAAAUCAACUGGCACAAGGGGUAAAAUUAAGCAAAUCAAAUGAUAUGUAGUAAUUACUUUUCAUUUCAUCACACCAUCUGAAAAAAAAUGGCAAAAUAGCAAGCAUGUCAGCACAAUGUCAAAAGGCCCCAAAUUUACCUGCUCCAAACCAAUUUAUGAAUACAUGGCAAUGAAAUAAUUAAAGGAGCCUGAGAGCAAGAAGCCCAGUUAUUCAGAAGCUGAGCACAUAUAGCAUAACUGGCAAAUUUCUAUCAGAUUAUGACUGACUUAACCUACCUGCUGAUUAGUAAAUGCUGAGUACUAUAGGGCUAUGUAAGGAUUUAUUACUGAAAAAUCUACCAUGUUGAUCCAGGUCUAACAAGAAAAUUUCAGUUACUAAAAUCAAAGUAAUAACAACUCCUAUGGUUUUAGCAGGGUUUGCUAUAGUUUGUUGUGGGAUCCCAAUUAAAGUCCUAGGAAUUAAAUAACCAUAGACCUAAAAAGGUAUUUCAUGUGUUACAAAUUUAACAAAUCUAAAAUAUCUUUAUCUACUUUAUUACUGUGACAGGUAUGAUAACAGGCCAAAUUACAACCAUACUUUCCAACAAGGACUUUUGUUUCAACCAAUCAACCAAAUGCAGCCACCACCAACUCCUUACUGCUUCCUGGCUUUGUAUAACUGAGUGCUGAGUAUCAUGCCAGCAGGCUUUAAUAAAUUAGCAAUUAAAAGCAAAUUAUACAUAA